rnacentral:lncRNA from 1 species
AAGAACAGGGUGAUGAAAUCAAAAUUCAGGAGCCCACUUGAAGAACAAGUGAUGAAAUUGAAAUCAGAAACCCGCUUGAAGAACAGGGUGAUGAAAUCGAAAGUCAGAAGCCCGCGUAAAGAACAGGAUGAUGAAAUCAAAAUUAAGAGCCCAUCUGAAGAACAGGGUGAUGUAAUCGAAAUCAGGAGCCUGCCUGAAGAACAGGGUAAUGAAAUAGAAAUUCAAAGCCCGCCUGAAGAACAGGGUGAUGAAAUAGAAAGUCAGGAGCCCUUCCGAAGAACAAGGUAAUGAAAUCAAAAGUCUUGAGCCCGCUUGAAGAACAAGGUGAUGAAAUCAAAAGUUAGGAUCCCG